CUAACUACACAUUCGAUUGCUUUCAGAAUUAUCAGAACUACCUAGGUGACGAUACAUAUGCCAUAUGCCAUAUGACAUCCUCCGCUUCCGACAAGACUAUACGGUUCUCUGCGAUAGUGCUCUCGCGCGGGGCUUUGUGGCGAUGUAAAAGGCAUACAUUUGUGACUUCGUUUUAUGAAGCGUGGUAACCUUGAAACAACCUGAAUGCAUCUCCCAUGCGCCUGGGUGUAUAAGACAUAAUAACAAUAAUAGGCUCUGAGGAAAGAAUCAAGGAACAUAUUGGCUGCCAAUAUCUCCUUAACACUUCUCUCCAACACUGCCAGUGUUCAACCCCGCGAACCUCAUCCUGAACCACCAUUUGCACGCUCACAUACCAGUUUGAUACCAUGGCGAUCGAAGAGCACCAUAAGGGACCAACCGUUCUUUUUUUUUUUUUUUUUUGAGAAGUAAAAUUGACGAGUUAAAAGUUACUUUCUACACUUUUGGUUCUCUACUGUCUCCACGCAAUCAUCAAUUUAUGCUCUAUUCAGCCAGCACUGGAUUAUCCUCUGCGGUUAGUUUUAUGCUAGAUUUUGCUACGGAGCGAACCACUUCCAGCUCCAGUUCAGUUAUCUUAACCAAGACGGGGAUACGAAACCCAUUGAGCGUUGCUUGAUUGCAGAUGAUGGCAUUUCCGGGUGGACCUGAAUACGUUAGUUAAGUGCGUUCUCAGAGGGAGGGAGGCUCUUGCACUGCCACUGGCACACUUCCUUUGAAUUUCCAAAGUCAACUGGUCAGUACAGGCAGUGGACCUUUGGUCUUCAGGUUGGAUGUGCCGAGUGGCAAGUCAUUCGUAUCUCCUUUCUGCAGCGCCACCACGUAAACGAUUAACCACCCGGCCGAGUAUUUCGAAACAUUUACCCUAUUGGUAUCGCAUAAUAAAGGAAAUGCGAGCUAUAUUGACAGGGGAAAGUAGUGCGAAUCCCUCGGACGUUCCAAUAUCUAAAAUCCGGAAGACAAUUCUUCCUUAUACAGUGAUGACGCGGAC
rnacentral:sRNA from 2 species